rnacentral:lncRNA from 1 species
CAUGUCCACCUCAUCACCGAACCACAUCCCUUAAAUUUCUCUUCCAAAUUAGAUUUUCUUUCUCUUUAUCCUUUCUCCUCUCCUUUUCACCUUUUCUUAUCAUUUUCACAUCUCUUGUUGCGGGCCGGGACAGACAAAACAGAGCACCGGACAAUGUCUGUACACCCCAAACCUCCUCCAAAUUUGCGGCAAGUUUGGGGGAUGUGUCCGGACAAACAUGCCAUUUUGUCAGGUUAGGAGAUGUCAUUGGAAGAUGAUUUCGGAGGCAAAAUGUCCAUAUCCCCCAAAUAGGCCAUUUGGGAUACCUUUGGGGAUGCCAUUGGAGAUGCUCUUACCAUAUCCGGUCCAUAUAUAUAUGGUGGUGCAUGUAGUACAUGUUUCUCUGUUGUGGUGUGGAGGGUGAUGAGAUGAUAUGUUUAGGAGAAAAGUCUAUUUUAAACCCUGAACUUGUAGACAAAGUCUGAAUCAAACUUUAACAUUUGAAUUCCUGAAUUUCAGACCCUGACCUUAUUGAUCCCGGUCAAUCAAGCCCCUUAAUCCCGGAAAUGGUGUUUGGCAGACUGGUUUUGUUGACGUAACACCGGGAUUGCUGGCUAAGACUAGAGGAAGGACCCAAAUGAUGCUCUCAUAUCUUUUUUUUUUUAAUUUUGAUAUUUUUAACUAUGUUUAGAAAUUACUAACGAGAAUAACCGUAACUAAUUUUCUUAGUGCGUCUUCUGGUAUAUUUUUAACUAUGUUGGCUAAGCUCUUCUGAUAUAUUUUCUUAGGCGGGGCGACCGCUUGGCUCGCCGCUCGCCGGAACCGGCACUCCUUGCGUGUAUGCUCCGCUACUGUUGCCCAGGUCGUUGCUCGCCAGGUCGGGAGGGCUCGCUUCGAGGGAAGAAUGCCAAUAUCCUCACAAGAUGCCUGAUAGUUUUUUUUAAAAAAAAAUUGUGGGUAAUUUUCCAGGUAUAACCACAUAAGAAUAAGUAGUCGGGACUCACAUACAAUGCUCACUCAUCAGAUUCUAAGACACAUCAUUAUCCCGACCUACCCAAACAGGGAAUUCGGGUUAAGGUUUAACUUGACCGGGAUUAGAUAGGCCAGAGGCUGAAAACCCGAGAUUAGAAUGUUAGUGUUUGAUUUAGACAAGUGGUACAAGUUCAGGAUUCAA